rnacentral:rRNA from 1 species
GACGAACGCUGGCGGCGUGCCUAAUACAUGCAAGUAGAACGCUGAAGGAGGAGCUUGCUUCUCUGGAUGAGUUGCGAACGGGUGAGUAACGCGUAGGUAACCUGCCUGGUAGCGGGGGAUAACUAUUGGAAACGAUAGCUAAUACCGCAUAAUAGCAGUUGUUGCAUGACAACUGUUUGAAAGGUGCAAUUGCACCACUACCAGAUGGACCUGCGUUGUAUUAGCUAGUUGGUGGGGUAACGGCUCACCAAGGCGACGAUACAUAGCCGACCUGAGAGGGUUAUCGGCCACACUGGGACUGAGACACGGCCCAGACUCCUACGGGAGGCAGCAGUAGGGGAUCUUCGGCAAUGGGCGGAAGUCUGACCGAGCAACGCCGCGUGAGUGAAGAAGGUUGUCGGAUCGUAAAGCUCUGUUGUAAGAGAAGAACGAGUGUGAGAGUGGAAAGUUCACACUGUGACGGUAUCUUACCAGAAAGGGACGGCUAACUACGUG